CCGACCCGAUUGCAGCCGUUUCUCUGUGUGGUGAACCAGGCAGGAGAGAUCGCAGCCUGAAGGGGUCGUUUAAGGUCAGGGUUCGUUUAAGGUCAGGGUUAAUUUAAGGUCAGGGGUCAUUUUAAGGUCAGGGUUCGUUUAAGGUCAGGGUUCAUUUAAGGUGAGGGUUCAUUUAAGGUCAGGGUUCAUUUUAAGGUCAGGGGUCAAUUUAAGGUCAGGGUUCGUUUAAGGUCAGGGUUCAUUUAAGGUCAGGGUUCAUUUUAAGGUCAGGGUUCGUUUAGAGCUGUACAGGAAAUAUCAAAUAUGGCAUUAUGGAGAAGGUAGCUUCUAGCCAUUGGUAACCAUGGAGACAAUGCCGCACCCCCAUGUAGCCUAGCAUGUAU